rnacentral:rRNA from 1 species
ACUCCUACGGAAGGCAGCAGUGGGGAAUAUUGGACAAUGGGCGCAAGCCUGAUCCAGCCAUGCCGCGUGAGUGACGAAGGCCUUAGGGUUGUAAAGCUCUUUUGGCGGGGACGAUAAUGACGGUACCCGCAGAAUAAGCCCCGGCUAACUUCGUGCCAGCAGCCGCGGUAAU